UGUAGAAUAAAUAUAACCUCAUUAUAUCUUUUUGUUUGUUUGAAAUAUGUAUACAUAAUUCAAACUGAAAGCAACGAGUUAGGUUGAACUUGCAGAACCUGUUCUAAAUCCACACCUUUGAGCUAUUUCAUGAAUGAAAUCGAUCUUUUAAAGCGUUAAAUAUCUUUUCAUUAAUUUCUUCUUGAGGAGGUAAAGGUUGUGGAUUUCUAAGACAAUCAACAAAUCUUCGAACACAAUUGUAGAUAGGUCGACACCA
rnacentral:lncRNA from 1 species